rnacentral:rRNA from 1 species
UGGGGAAUAUUGGACAAUGGGCGCAAGCCUGAUCCAGCAAUGCCGCGUGAGUGAUGAAGGCCUUAGGGUUGUAAAGCUCUUUCGGCGGGGACGAUGAUGACGGUACCCGCAGAAGAAGCCCCGGCUAACUUCGUGCCAGCAGCCGCGGUAAUACGAAGGGGGCUGGCGUUGUUCGGAAUUACUGGGCGUAAAGGGCGCGUAGGCGGCGUUACAAGUCAGGCGUGAAAGCCCCGGGCUCAACCUGGGAAUUGCGUUUGAUACUGUCGUGCUAGAGUUCGGGAGAGGUGAGUGGAAUUCCCAGUGUAGAGGUGAAAUUCGUAGAUAUUGGGAAGAACACCGGUGGCGAAGGCGGCUCACUGGACCGAUACUGACGCUGAGGCGCGAAAGCGUGGGGAGCAAACAGGAUUAGAUACCCUGGUAGUCCACGCCGUAAACGAUGUGUGCUAGACGCUGGGGAGCAUAGCUCUUCGGUGUCGCCGCUAACGCUUUAAGCACACCGCCUGGGGAGUACGGCCGCAAGGUUA